CCCGGGUUCGAUUCCCGGUCAGG
rnacentral:piRNA from 2 species